ACUGAACGCUGGCGGUAUGCUUAACACAUGCAAGUCGAACGGUAACAGGCCUUCGGGCGCUGACGAGUGGCGGACGGGUGCGUAACGCGUAGGAAUCUGCCUGUUAGUGGGGGACAACUUGGGGAAACUCAAGCUAAUACCGCAUACGCCCUACGGGGGAAAGCGGGGGACCUUCGGGCCUCGCGCUAACAGAUGAGCCUGCGUUGGAUUAGCUAGUUGGUAGGGUAAAGGCCUCCCAAGGCGACGAUCCAUAGCUGGUCUGAGAGGACGAUCAGCCACACUGGGACUGAGACACGGCCCAGACUCCUACGGGAGGCAGCCGUGGGGAAUAUUGGACAAUGGGCGCAAGCCUGAUCCAGCAAUACCGCGUGUGUGAAGAAGGCCUGAGGGUUGUAAAGCACUUUCAAUAGGGAGGAAAACCUGUCGGCGAAUACCCGGCAGCUUGACAUUACCUAUACAAGAAGCACCGGCUAACUCCGUGCCAGCCGCCGCAGUAAGAC
rnacentral:rRNA from 1 species